rfam:Brachypodium distachyon strain Bd21 chromosome 4, whole genome shotgun sequence.
GAAGUGCUCCCUCCGUCCAACAAAAGAUGUCUCAAUUUUGACUAAAUUUUAAUACAUCUAUACACUAAGUCAUGUCUAGAUAUAUUCAAAUUUUGACAAACUUAAUACAUUUUUUAUUGGACGAAGAAGGUACGAU